rnacentral:lncRNA from 1 species
UUAAUUUAGGCCCCGUUAUUAUUAAUGCUAUUCGCAGGUAAUUUCAUGUUUCUUCGUGAAAAUGGCCUGGACUAUGCGCGACAAUAUGUUUGCGCUUUAGAUGGAAAUCGCUUCCGAAUGCUGCCCCCGCUAUUAUAUAUGUAAAAUUCAAUUCCACAAAUCUCGCUGAGAAGUGGCGCGCGCGCGCGCGCGCGUGUGCGAGGAAGCGGAAAGGGUCCGGCGAUGUUACGAACACGAAAAUCAGAGGUGAAAGAAGUAGAAAGGAAAGAUUACUGUCGGAACUGUCGGUAGGGUUUUGAAAAAUUAUUCAGGAAAAAUAAGUGAGAAGGAACGCGUUUGCGUUAAACAAUCUUGAUAAAUAUAGAUAACUCGCGUGAAGCGAUAUUUUUUAACUGUUGAUAUAGCAUGCGUCGUCUAUUGACGUGUCAUUCAUAAGGCGAUUUGCAUAUUUUGCAGGGUAUAACAAGUUUCCCGCUAUCCAGAGCGACCUCCCAAUCUCACGCACUGUUUCCGGUUGACAGAACGCGUAUCGUAUCACAUCGUUCGGAACACGCGGAAUACGAGCGCGAAUUUACGUGCUACGUGUUCCGCACAUCAUAAAUCGCCAAGUUACGAAAUGGACGUAUGACCUGCUCCCGGAAAAUGCCGUAAAACUUUUGCCGGUUCGCAAUUCCGCGCUGGCAACUAUGCGCAGGAUGCUACAAAUUUUUAAGUAUUUUUCACGAAUCUCAAUUAUAUCGGAGAGAAGCUUGGAGGAAAAAUGAUUAAAAUAACGCGCGGAUAACUGUCGUUACGUAAGUGCAAUUAUCGUCAGAUGAUGUGAAGUAAUUGCAGUUUAAAGCACCGUUUAAAAAGAAUGAUUCUUAUUGACACGAGAAAGAGACUGAUAUACCAGCUGCAAAAAGUUUCAGAAUAAAUCUCAUUCAAUUCACUCUGCCUGACCGGGCAAUUUUAUUUAAGCACGCACGCUGUAUUUCUCAUCUUCUGACUCCCCUUUUCGUGCGUGAUAAGAAAAAUAAUCUCCGAUAUAAUAGUUCGCUGAAACGAUCAACAUUUUUUACAACGAAACCCUGGUCUGGGAUUUAUUGUACGUAUAUCCCAUGAAAUCUCCCGUGAACAAAAUAUUUUCAAUAAAACUUUCCCUUACUCUGCGCUAUAUCGUGUCAAGUUCGAGAAUUGCAAUUCAGUUUAUCGUUAUUUUAGGUGGUGCGGUAACUUGCAAGUUAUUAGAAACGAUUAUUGAGCUUUAAGCCCGGGAGGAAGAAGAGGUGGGAACUUAAAAUGACUUUUAUCAGUUUAGCGCUUGAAGCUAAUAAGAUUCCUAAUCGUUAUGAAUAGAUUUAAUUAAACGCUCUCCUCGUUAAACAUUCCUCUGUGAUUUACCUUUCCACUUAAAUCAGUAAUGUUGACGUACUCGUGGUGCGCGCGCGUUACGUAUCUCAGCCAUGCAUCGCGCGUAGCAGCGAAGGUAGCAUAGAAUAUGAAUAUUCCGUAAAGUGAGAAAGAGGAGGCGUUCAUGCCGUACGGACGGCCGGAGGCUCGAUUGUUGGCGGGGAAUGAGAACGGAAUAGGAUGAGACUUAACGUGCACGACGGGUCGUAGGAUUGACGUGUUCCUUAUAAACCAGAAGGGCGAGGCGAAGAUAGCAACGGAGGAACCAGAGGCGAAAGUGUAGGAGGGCGAACGGGCAAGGGGGUGGUUGGAAAGGAUGACGCGUAGAGAAGAGGAAGGCGGGAUAAGGUAGGAAGGCACGUCGCGGCGUCUGCACGCCGUGGAAGCCCGAUUGUUCUCCGCAACCGACUGUGUCUCAUUACUUCGAAUUGGCUAGCCGUAGACAAUGCCAGCGGGUAAUACGAUUAUCCGGAAGAUGGUUUUCAGCGGCCACCCCUUCGUUUCUAUCGUCCCUUCGCCCGGCUCGACGUCCUUUUACGCUCUUACGUUCUCCACCCCGCGCCAUCGUAUAAACCCUUUUUCCGGGCUAUGCGGAGAAAAUCGGGAUCGCGGGGCGUGCGCGCGGAAAAGGGACCGGGGAAAGAGGCGGGUGCGAAAGUGACGGUGACUGGAGAGACAAUGGACAGACCGACGCGUGCGCCGGUGCAUCUCGUCUUAUCCCCGUGCGGAGAUAAGAAUCGAAGAUUAACCGUCCACACGACUUUAGGUCGAGGACGACGAUGCUUCCCGAAUGGGGAGAGCACGCGCUCCCACUAACGCACACCCGAGGCUUCGUGCACCGGAAGAAGAGGCGCGAGUGCUUUUUCCAACGCAACAAAUAGGGCAGCUCGUUCAAUGUAUUCUCCGAACUCCGGCUAAACUUUGCUGCUCACUCGAACAUUUCAUCGUGCUCCGACUUACAUCGGCGUAUGGCGAACGUGGCGGAGCUCGUGCAUGUCCCGAGCGUGUCUGGUAUUCAAAGCGUAAUUCGGUGCAACGAUCGCGCGAACCUAUACGUUCGAUGCAUGGCUUUGAAAUUUUUCACCGAAAACGUGAAACGUGUUUACACGCGGUACAGUAAGUUAUAUACAGGAAUAUUUUUCGCGAUAUGAAAGAUUAAUCUUUCUCUUUUCAAACUUUUGUGCCAUCUUUGCAACAUUGUUGUUACUUUGUAAUUCAACGCCAUUCAUUUUCAACGGAGAUUCUCCGUGUUGCUGAUAAUAAACUAUUGUUUUCUUGCUUGAAAUCUGCAAGCAUUCUCAUCGGGUAAUUUAAACGGUAUUUUUUCAUGUGUGAAACGCGAGUUAUCUUAACACAAUGAAUAUUUCUCUCUCUCUCUUCUUUUUCUUUCUCAUUCUCAUAUAUGGAAUUAAUAAAAAGAUAUUUAAUAUUUCAACGGAUUUCAAAGACGAACUCGGUCAAAUCUCCUCGUUUUAAAGCAUGAUUUCACCUUUUUUUCAUACCUUUUUCUUAUUUGCAAGCACGCCACUGUAACUCGGCUUUCAUCGUGUCGCUCAUUUGAAUUCCCUUUUUCCAAGUUGCUUCGCCUAGGAGGAGCUGCCGAGCGCGUUGGACAAAGACUAGACGAGAAAGAUUAGACGACGAAAAGAGAACGAACGAAGAUGAGUUGAAAAGACAAUGAGCCACUGGAAGCGUGACGUUUUCUUUCAUUCAUGCAGAGAUAAAAGUCGAAGGCUGACCUACGACGUGGCUCUGACUCAUAACAGAAUGUUUUCCCGCCGAUAGAGUAUUUCUCUGCAGAUAAAAUCGACAUUACGAAAACGAUAAAAGUAGAUAACUCGCUCGUGAUAGAUAUAUUUUCCAACUCAACAAAUUUGAUAAAUUUGUUUUUCUAAACACAUUGAUACUGCCAAUAAACGUUUGCAUUUCAGGAAUGGACUUGUUUUUUUUCUAUAUUGAAACGACAAAGACAUAUAACGUAUCUGAAUAAUUUUCAGGGUUCUAUGAUUUCUGCUGAAUCCGGAUUGGGACUUUGGACGUCGCACUAUAGAUUCUCUUUCCUGCAUGACUCGAAGGAUAACGCGAAGGAGGUUGACUUAGAGAUAAGACCCAAAGAUAUUAACUGGCGGUGCGACUCAGACUUGGACAGGACGGACGGUUUCCACCUCGCUGUGGGUUUUCAUUCUCGAGGAAAACUGCUCUGCAUUUCAGAUCCGGGAAAAGCCGGGCUGCUUCUUGACGCAGAUGGUCGAUCCAGCUGAGCGAUGGUGGGAGAAAAGAGGAUGAGAACGGGCUCGGACGAACGGAAGCUGAGGAAACGUUCUUACAUCGACUCUCCUAUAUCGCGAGACAUAUUUCAUUACCUCCUGUUCAUUAUUCAUCUAUGCGCUUGACCAAUAUAAUUGUGAAUUCUAUCGCAACAUUUGACAGAAGUAUAACUGUCGGUUAUUGAUGUGCAACAAGUACCAAUAUGAAAUGCACUAUCAGUUACAAUUUUGAUUAAGCUAUAUAUUUUGAGAGCGAUGCAAUUUCAAAGCUUUUGUCAAGAUUUUCAAAGUUAUAUCAAAUUACCACUUGUUUAAAACUAAACCAAGCCAAAUACUCGAUUUUAUUUUAGGAUUAAUAUCGUUUUCAUAUUAUUCUCUUCUUCUUGAAUUCAGUUUUGUCGGUGACACGAGGAAUUGACAACGGAAGAGUGACGUUACGCGCGAAAAAUAGCGCAGAAAAUCGAGAAUUAACUGACGACAACAUGAUUCCGGAUUUAGUCGGAAAUGCUUCGAACUCUUCUGCAUUUCAAAUUGAAUGGCUAGGCGGAAGAAACGCCUAGUGGAAAAUGGGAAAAAGGUCGGACGCGCGCGAUAUCGGGCUAAACGGGAUGACGCGAGAAGGCGAGGGAGGCUAAGAGACAGAAUAGGAAUUUUACUCGAGACGUCGAAGUCACAUCAUCUAAAGGUGGGUCCAGACAUGUGUCGUAUCAUCGUAUCGUAUCAUAAUCGCGUAUCAUGCAUGAUAUGGAUACGUUAGUUAUAAUGAUACGCCGAGGCCUUGCUUUCAAUCCGUAUCCGUAUCAUUUAUCUGUAUCUCUUUAUUAGUUUUCCAUCUAACGUAUCGUUCCACGUUAACCUGCUGUGGAGACAAUGUCUGUACAGUUAGCUGCUGUUAAUUACAUUUUUCUUCAUUAUUUAUUGAAGAAACCGAGGAAAUCACGACGGUGGUGGAUAAAAAGAAUUUUUGCGAAUCGCGAAGUAUACAGUGGCCCAAAGUUAUUGCGCGACUUAAAGUUUCAAUCUGUUAGUGGACAGUACAAAAAUUUCACAAGAAUGUCACCCAUUGAAUUUGAGUACCUGAUAAAUUUGGUGGGGAAACAGAUUUCCAAAAUAGACACCACAUAUAGGAAAGUAAUACCUGUUCAAAAAGGAUUAGCCAUAACUUUGCGAUCGCUAGACGAAGCAACACGACUGAAUCGAGUCAGGAUCUCAGGAUCGGUAAGCGUCCACACUGACUGUAUCCGUAUCUCGUAUCAUUUCUUCGAUGUUUCGGCGAAAUACCGACUUCAAAUGGAUCAUGGUCGUAUCGUAUCUGCGUAUUAUUUUGAUACACAGAUACGAUACGCAGAUGUGAUACGGCGCACCGUCCACACUAAGCUAAUCGUGAUACGCGAUCAUGAUACGAUACGGUGAUACGACACAUGUCCGGACCCAUCUUAAGAUGUUGCGAAUUUCAUCUAUUGGCAAUGGUACGUGAUAAACGGUGAAGAAAAAUUGGACGUUGAUCAAACUCGGUGAAGAAGAGAAAGGAACUACAAUGUCAUUAUAUUACAUCCCUCGUCGUUAUUGUGCGUCUCAAUUUACAAUUUUAUUGUGAAACAUGAGUAUCAUGAUUGAUUUUCUUGCACGUUGAACAUAUUCUCGCUAAAUUACAGCAACAUGUCUAUAUGGAUAGGCCAUGUAAGUAAUAUGAAUGAUGCCGAAAUCAUUACCAAGUCAAAUAUUGAACUUGACUAAUUUGUUAUCGGCAAGAAAGUAGAACGACGUGUAGAAAUCUCUCUUGCUGGCAAAUUUGCCCUAGUUACUAAAGUUAUAACGUUGUUAAACGCCCCUGGUCGACUUACGAGAGCAGGCUAUACCGAAGGAAAUGUACAGAUCGCUCGUGAACGAAUUCUCGUGCAUAAAAAUUAGCGUUCGGAAUAAUAAAGGAGUUUUCGUUCGGAAGUAGUGGUAUGAGUCAAAGUUUACAUGAUCGCGUUUGAGGAUGUACUUUCAAUUGCGCGAGACGAAAUGAUUUGUUCGCAGACAACGGGGGCCUUUGUGCAUCUUUAGCAGUCAUUUAAAGCUCACCCGACACCUUUUGCAGAAUCUCGACUACGACACUCGCAAAACUGUCGUUCGGCCAAAGGACAGAAGGACAGAGAGCAGAGGUCCUCGAAACCGUCUCGAGAUGGCGGCUGACUAUGCCCGACGCUAGCACUUGUCGUUGUCUAACUGUUUGCCCAACCACGAAGACAGACCAUUUACCAUAACGAGGGAAACGCCAGCAGAACCUGAUACCGGCAAAAGCUCGUACAACAAUGGUCGCCCGCUCGUUUUACCUUUUGCCCUCCGAAUUCUUACGGUCCUAUAUAAGCACUUUCUUCAUAUCUGCUUGCAAUUUUUCUGUUAAAAUUUUCUUCUGUUUUUUGGGAAUCCUAUUUUCGUGCCUGAAAACAUUUUGUGAAACUUUCAUAACGAUCAGAAGAUCCUCUGACAGAACAUCGUUGUGCAAUAUUCUUAUUGGUGGAGGUAUCACGUUUCAGCGUUAUUCCAGAGAUUAGAUUUUAAUUUAAUUUCAAGUUGUGAUAGAAUCAAGUGGGUCAAAAAGAUUCGUCGUGGUUUGAGAAUUUGUGACUAGCGUUUUACGCGUUGGGUGUCCCUCGUCGCUUCCUACGUUUCUACGACCUUUCGUCCAUUAAGUCGACUCUCGAGGAAGUCGUUACCACGAGGAAGGUGUAAGAAUAAUGGCGCUGACCUUUUGUAAAAUAUGACGUAACCGCACAUGUAACAACGACGCAAGUACACAAUGUAUUCUCCAUGUUUAACGCGAUAUGAGAAACAUUGUGGCAUUCUGCCUGAUUAGUGAAUAUCCAAAACAUAUCGCAAGGUAAUUUACAAAGGUAAACUGUUGUAAACGAUAAAACGAGAGUACGUUUUAACAAAUUACAAAUAAAGCUGAGAUUGGCAUGUAAAUUUGCGUAAUUGUAACAUUUUAGACAUUAUCGUGGAUCAUUGUUACAGCGAGGCAUUAAGACGGAGACUCAAUCACCUUUAUAUAUCGCGAGCUUUGCGGAAACGUCAGUAAUCGUGAAAACUUUUUAAGCAGCUUGAACGAUCUUCCGGAAACCAUGGUGUUUUAUAAACCGAUAAUCGAUUGUCGAAGAAAGAGUUCCGUUGAAAAUUCCAAGAAGUUUCGCGCCGCAAAAAAGAAACUCCGUUUAAAUAUUGCGACGUGAAUCAACGAUCGCCUUUGAUCCAGAUAAUCGGAGCGUUCUCGAUCAGAUACUGAAUAUAUCUCAAGAAGCUUUUCCAUUUAAACUUGGACGUUUUUAGCGCGUUUCAUUAAAUAGCGCAGCUUACAUUUCUUCAAUAUUCGUACUUGAAUAAAAGUUUUGAUUUUGUAAUUGUAAAGUCAAGGACUAGUUACUUUAGUACUCUCAACAUUUCUGUUGAUGAAUAAUCAUACAAUUUUCAUGCCAAUUUCUAUUAUAAUUUAACUAGUAUAAUUUAAACACGUUAACUACAUUAGUAAUGAAAUAUGUAUCAGAUGUUACGUAGCGUAGUGUGAACGUGUGAUUUGUGUGUGAACAUGAAGUAAAAUGGAUAAAUCUCUAAAAUCGAUUAAUAAAUAUAAAUGUGUCACUGUAAA